CCGAUGUUCGCUAUAAUAAGGUGAUGAUUUGUCGAAGAGCUAUGGCCGUUGUUUGCCAAUCGGGCCACGGUACCGGCGUCAACAAUGUCGGAAACUGCUGAACGAAGCUGUCGAUUUCCAAAUGUUAGAAAAACAAACGAAACGAUCGGGCCAUAAGAAACGAGGCAAAAACUGUGAUAAGGUUCUUACUGCCGAAACCUUCUAAGGAUAGAACGGUUUAACGUUUCUUGUUCUUAAACAGUGCCCCUUAAUCUACUUGAAAUCUAUGGAAACAAAGUUUAUAUUUUUGGUUUGUUUCGAUUUUUUGGUUUUACAUAUAUAAGACAGGAAAAACUGUUAAAAAUUUGUUAUGUGUAGGUUAAACGUCAAUGUAUUAUUGACAGUGGAAGACAGGAGAUAUUUUCUUUGCUACUGCGAGGUAUGGGCUUGUUCAGUCUGUUUAUUGCGGCCACGCACGUCGUGUCGAAUAGGUUAUUGGCCGAGGCACAUGGAAGUUCCUCGUUGCGUCGCAGAAAUGAAUGGGAAUGAGGUUCGAAGUUCUCGAUAAAGAAAAGUAUAACACGUGGAAUUUUAAAUGCGUGCGGUUUUAACAAAGACGGAUGAAUGGAGCGGCAGCUCCUUGGUACGUGAGCGGCAGGAUUUCCAAGCGGGAAUUUAUGCAGGGUAGUGCAGCAUCGGUGCAAGGUGUGGCAAGAUAAAUCGAGAACGAUUUGAGAGCAUAUUUGAAUUUUGUGCUCAUUAUUAGUCCGUUGGAAAUUAAGCAGAUAAAGAGAUAUGAGACUGUAAGAGAGAUUUGAUUAAAAUUAAAGAACAUCCAUCAGUAAAAAGGGCCAAUGUGAAAGGUCGUGCUUUUGAAUCAUCUGGAGUUGUUGAAAAUGCAAAAUGGUUAUGGUGUGUGGCGAACGUUUUCGACGUUUCUUCGACGUGAUGGAUAAGUUAGCGCAACUGAAAAUCAAGAUCAAUCAAGAUACUAUUGGUGGCAUUGUCGUAUAUACAAGUCUGGAAAUUCCCACGGUGAUGGUAAGGCUUUUAAUGAUCGGACACUGUUGCUCGAUUAGUCCCCAGUAAACCGCUUUAGUCGAAAAGUUAGAAUUCAUUGUAUGACGUCAUCGUGUAAAAAUAGCCCCGACUCGGUUGUCUCUGUCUUUUUCUCUCUCUCCUUAAUGCGGUCGCGUAUUCGACUCACGGGCCGAGUAGGAAAAGAGAUGAAAGCAAAAAACAGUACCACAAUAAUAAUAAUAGAGACAAUAUUUCGUCUUAGAUAUAUGAUUAUUAUGAUUAUAUUAUUAUUAUUUUGUGCCUAACUAAUGUCUAAUAAAUAUCAUAUAAUAUAAA